AUACGUAGGGGGCGAGCGUUAUCCGGAAUUAUUGGGCGUAAAGAGUACGUAGGUGGUUUCUUAAGCAUGGGGUUUAAGGCAAAGGCUUAACCAUUGUUCGCCCCAUGAACUGGGUAACUUGAGUACUGGAGGGGAAAGCGGAAUUCCUAGUGUAGCGGUGAAAUGCGUAGAUAUUAGGAGGAACACCAGUGGCGAAGGCGGCUUUCUGGACAGUAACUGACACUGAGGUACGAAAGUGUGGGGAGC
rnacentral:rRNA from 1 species